rfam:Gossypium raimondii chromosome 2, whole genome shotgun sequence.
AACUUGUGCUUCAGACAUUUUCAAAUUAAAUCUUUAAGUUGUUCCCAAGCUUUACAUAGUGUUUCAUCCUUCAAUUUUCUAAAAGAUGUGAUGUUAUUUCUAAGCUU